CCCUACGGGGGGCAGCAGUAGGGAAUCUUCCACAAUGGGCGAAAGCCUGAUGGAGCAACGCCGCGUGGGUGAAGAAGGUCUUCGGAUCGUAAAACCCUGUUGUUAGAGAAGAAAGUGCGUGAGAGUAACUGUUCACGUUUCGACGGUAUCUAACCAGAAAGCCACGGCUAACUACGUGCCAGCAGCCGCGGUAAUACGUAGGUGGCAAGCGUUAUCCGGAUUUAUUGGGCGUAAAGGGAAAGUAGGCGGUCUUUUAAGUAUGAUGUGAAAGCCUUUGGCUUAAUUGGAGUAGUGCAUUGG
rnacentral:rRNA from 1 species